UACAGAGGCCUCAAGCGUUGUUCGGAAUCACUGGGCGUAAAGGGUGCGUAGGCGGCGCGGAAAGUCAGGGGUGAAAUCCCGGAGCUCAACUCCGGAACUGCAUUUGAUACUGGCGUGCUUGAGGACUGGAGAGGAGACUGGAAUUCAUGGUGUAGCAGUGAAAUGCGUAGAGAUCAUGAGGAAGACCAGUGGCGAAGGCGGGUCUCUGGACAGUUCCUGACACUGAGACACGAAGGCCAGGGGGAGCAAAACGGGG
rnacentral:rRNA from 1 species